UACGUAGGCAGCGAGCGUUGUUCGGAGUUACUGGGCGUAAAGGGUGUGUAGGCGGUUGUUUAAGUUUGGUGUGAAAUCUCCCGGCUCAACUGGGAGGUGCGCCGAAUACUGAAUGACUUGGAGUGCGGGAGAGGAAAGUGGAAUUCCUGGUGUAGCGGUGAAAUGCGUAGAUAUCAGGAGGAACACCGGUGGUGUAGACGGCUUUCUGGACCGUAACUGACGCUGAGACACGAAAGCGUGGGUAGCAAACAGG
rnacentral:rRNA from 1 species